rnacentral:lncRNA from 1 species
AGCUACGAGAGGUACGGCGAGUUCAGCCUGCCGGAGGUGGCGCCCAAGAUCGCGGCGUGGGCCAAGCGCUGCGGCGAGCGGGAGAGCGUCGCCAAGAGCCUCUACUCGCCGGACAAGGUGUACGACUUCAUCGGCCUGCUCAAGAAGAAGUACGGCAUCGAGUAGCCGCGCGGACGGACGGGCGGCCAUGCAUGCGCCAUCCCGCCGGCCGGCCAAUAAAUCAGGGAGCGUUUGGGUGGCCUACAGUGCGUACGUUUCGGAUAUUGAUUUCUUCGUGGAGUCUAGUGUUCGUGCGUGUGUGGUUGGUGGUAGUUGUUUGGUUUUGUUAGUGUGAGUGCGUCGUGGGUGCCGUGUACUCCUGUGUGUGUGUCAAGUGUUGCCACCUGCGAUUCCAUUUUCAUUCCGUGCGAUGAAUAAAUUAAGAAGGGGUCUUCUGGACGCGUCUAGCGGGCGCACGGCCGCCUAGGAUGCUUAGCGAGCGGCCCGACACUUCAGAUAAUUUCUUGUCUCUCCUUUUAACUAGAAUAGUCAUCUAGUAGUCCCUUUUUCUGCUAUGUAUUAAAUGUCAACAUAUGUAUCUCCUCCUAUGCAUGUGUUUGUUCGUAUUUAUUUUGUGAUUUUAAAAUUUAAAAAGGCAUAACUUUCAAUCCGUGUCUUAAAAUUAAGAUCCGUUUUCACCGUUGAAACUCUUGCGACGUGCUCUUUAAAAGUAGAUCCUACAUGGGAUGUUUUGAUGAACUAGUCUUCCUGCCAGCUAAAUAUCAAUAUGUGUGCAACUAGACUACAUGCCGCGCCAAAUGAGUAUGUGUGUCAAUUGUCCUUUUGCUAACUAAACAUCAAUGUGUGUGCAACUAGACUACAUUGCCGCGCCAACUGAGCAUAUGUGUGUGCCAAUAAUCCUGCCAACUAAACAUCAAUGUGUGUACAACUAGACUAUAUUGGCGCGUCAAUUGCGCAUAUGUGUGUGCAAUUAGUGUCCUGCCAACUGAACAUCAGUAUGUGUGCAACUAGACUAAAUUACAAGCCAACUAAGCAUAAGUGUGUGCAACUAGUCCUUCUGCCAAUUAAACAUCAAUGUGUGUAACUAUACUACAUUACAAGCCAACUAAACAUCAAUGUGUGUGCAACUAGACUAUAUUACAAGCCAACUGAGCACAAAGUAGCUGAAUAUAAAACACCCCGAUUACAUCAAGCUCCGUCAGGUCUGCUGCGGCACUGUCGGACGCGUUGAGGAGGUUGGACUUGAGCGCGGUCAGGCUCUCGGGGAAGAGGAGGGGCCGGAGUCGGAGGAUGUCGUCGGAGAGAGGAGUUUGCGGAGGAGGACAGCAGCCAUGGUGCGGAGCUCGGCGAUGGACGGGUCGAAGGAGGCCCAUAGUAGGGACAAGGCUUGCAAUCCACUACUAGAUAGUUGGUCGGGAUAGUAGACUAAUUGCACAUCAAGUUGUUAUGGUUGGUAGGUUGCAACCUCAUAUGAAGUUAGAUCAUGUAGCUCCAAAGAUGGUUUUAAAAAAAGUUGCACCAUGUAGUAUUAAAAUUGCACAAUACAGUACUUUUAGUUUCACCAUAUAGCACCAAAGUUGGCAUAUAAAAAAUUCGUCGAAACAUAUCAUGCGGGAUCUAGUUUUGAAGAUCUCGUCGCGAUGAAUCCAACGGUGAAAACGGAUCUGAAUUCCGACAUGUGGUUUAAAAGAUAUGACUUUUUAAAAAUUUAAGAGGCCAAAAAUAAAUGUGCAUGAAUCUGUUUCCAAGACUAGUCUGUACGCAUUUAAUCCUAACAAAAACAUCCACUAGCUGACGAAAAAACACACGUAUGAGUAACAAGCCGGCCGCCUGUUUCUACGAAAUAGUGCGCGUGCACUUUAAAGGUUUUAAGUUGUUUAAUUAGGGGCUGUCUACCAAACAUCCACAAAGGCACACUGAUGCGGAAGCAGAGUCUUUGCGAUCCGCUAAAUCGUGGGAUUCUCCAUAUAUUUUAAGUUUGAUUUUUUUAAAAAACUUGAUGAUUAAACUUGUGGGAUUUCUCGCAUGUUUAAGUUUUGAAUUUCGAAACCUGAUGAUUUUAUUGUUCACUUCUAGUAUUAUGUUUGUUGGGAAUCGUAGCAUAAUUUAAAAUUUUCCUACGCUCACCAAGAUGCAUCUAUGGAGUCUACUAGCAACGAGGGGAAAGGAGUGCAUCUACAUACCCUUGUAGAUCGCGAGCGGAAGCGUUCCAAUGAACGUGGAUGACGGAGUCGUACUCGCAGUGAUCCAAAUCACCGAUGACCGAGUGCCGAACAGACGGCACCUCCGCGUUCAACACACGUACGGUGCAGCGACGUCUCCUCCUUCUUGAUCCAGCAAGGGGGAAGGAGAGGUUGAUGGAGAUCCAGCAGCACGACGGCGUGGUGGUGGAUGUAGCGGGUCUCCGGCAGGGCUUCGCCAAGCUUCUGCGAGAGAGAGAGGUGUUGCAGGGGAGGAGGGAGGCGCCCAAGGCUGUGGUUUGCUGCCCUCCCUCCCCCUCACUAUUUAUAGGACCCCUGGGGGGCGCCAGCCCUUGGGAGAUCAGAUCUCCAAGGGGGGCGGCGGCCAAGUGGGGGAAAGGGGGUGCCUUGCCCCCCAAGGCAAGGGGGAAAGCUCCCCCUAGGGUUCCCAACCCUAGGCGCAUGGGGGGAGGCCCAAGGGGGGCGCCCCAGCCCACUAAGGGCUGGUUCCCUUCCACUUUCAGCCCACGGGGCCCUCCGGGAUAGGUGGUCCCACCCGGUGGAUCUCCGGGACCCUUCCGGUGGUCCCGGUACAAUACCGGUAACCCCCGAAACUUUCCCGGUGGCCGAAACUGGACUUCCUAUAUAUAAUUCUUCACCUCCGGACCAUUCCGGAACCUCUCGUGACGUCCGGGAUCUCAUCCAGAACUCCGAACAACUUUCGGGUUUCCGCAUACAUAUAUCUCUACAACCCUAGCGUCACCGGACCUUAAGUGUGUAGACCCUACGGGUUCGGGAGACAUGCAGACAUGACCGAGACGCCUCUCCGGUCAAUAACCAACAGCGGGAUCUGGAUACCCAUGUUGGCUCCCACAUGCUCCACGAUGAUCUCAUCGGAUGAACCACGGUGUCGAGGAUUCAAUCAAUCCGUAUGCAAUUCCCUUUGUCAAACGGUAUGUUACUUGCCCGAGAUUCGAUCGUCGGUAUCCCAAUACCUUGUUCAAUCUCGUUACUGGCAAGUCUCUUUACUCGUACCGCAAUGCAUGAUCCCGUGACUAACGCCUUAGUCACAUUGAGCUCAUUAUGAUGAUGCAUUACCGAGUGGGCCCAGAGAUACCUCUCCGUCACACGGAGUGACAAAAACCCAGUCUCGAUCCGUGCCAACCCAACAGACACUUUCGGAGAUACCCGUAGUGCACCUUUAUAGUCACCCAGUUACGUUGUGACGUUUGGCACACCCAAAGCACUCCUACGGUAUCCGGGAGUUGCACGAUCUCAUGGUCUAAGGAAAAGAUACUUGACAUUGGAAAAGCUCUAGCAAAUGAAACUACACGAUCUUUUAUGCUAUGCUUAGGAUUGGGUCUUGUCCAUCACAUCAUUCUCCUAAUGAUGUGAUCCCGUUAUCAAUGACAUCCAAUGUCCAUAGUCAGGAAACCAUGACUAUCAGUUGAUCAACGAGCUAGUCAACUAGAGGCUUACUAGGGACACGUUGUGGUCUAUGUAUUCACACAUGUAUUACGAUUUCCGGACAAUACAAUUAUAGCAUGAAUAAUAGACAAUUAUCAUGAACAAAGAAAUAUAAUAAUAACCAUUUAUUAUUGCCUCUAGGGCAUAUUUCCAACAGUCUCCCACUUGCACUAGAGUCAGUAAUCUAGUUCACAUCACCAUGUGAUUAACACUCACUGGUCACAUCACCAUGUGACCAACAUCUAAAGAGUUUACUAGAGUCAACAAUCUAGUUCACAUCACUAUGUGAUUAUCACUCAAUGUGUUCUGGUUUGGUCAUGUUAUGCUUGUGAGAGAGGUUAUUAGUCAACGGGUCUGAACCUUUCAGAACCGUGUGCUUUACGAAUAUCUAUGUCAUCUUUGUGGAUGCUACCACGCGCUAUUUGGAGCCAUUUCAAAUAAUUGCUCUACUAUACGAAUCCGGUUUCCUACUCAGAGUCAUCCGGAUUAGUGUCAAAGUUCGCAUCGACGUAACCCUUUACGACGAACUCCUUUCCACCUCCAUAAUCGAGAAAAUUCCUUAAUCCACUAGGUACUAAGGAUAAGUUCGACCGCUGUCAUGAGAUCCUUUCCCGGAUCACCAUUGUACCCUCUUGACCAACUCAUGGCAAGGCACACUACAUGUGCGGUACACAGCAUAGCAUACUAUAGAGCCUAUGUCUAAAGCAUAGGGGACGACCUUCGUCCUUUCUCUAUCUUCCGCUGUGGUCAGGUCUUGAGUCUCACUCAAUACUCACACCUUGUAACACAGCCAAGAACUCCUUCUUUGUUGAUCUAUUUUGAACUCUUUCAAAAUCAUGUCAAGGUGUGCUGUCUUUUGAAAGUAUCAUCAGGCAUCUUGAUCUAUCUCUAUGGAUCUUGAUGCCCAAUAUGUAAGCAGCUUUAUCCAAGUCUUCCUUUGAAAAACUCCUUUCAAACAACCCUUUAUGCUUUCCAGAAAUUUUACAUCAUUUCGGAUCAACAAUAUGUCAUUCACAUAUACUUAUCAGAAAUGUUGUAGCGCUCCCACUCACUUUAUUGUAAAUACAAGUUUCUAACAAACUUUGUAUAAACCCAAAAAAAAACUUUGAUCACCCCAUCAAAGCGUAUAUUCUGACUCCGAGAUGCUUGCUCUAAUCCAUGGAAGGAUCGCUGGAGC